rnacentral:rRNA from 1 species
AUUGAACGCUGGCGGCAGGCCUAACACAUGCAAGUCGAGCGAGCGGCGGACGGGUGAGUAAUGUAUGGGGACUGCCCGAUAGAGGGGGAUAACUACUGGCAACGGUUGCUAAUACCGCAUACUAUCGGAUAACCCAUAUGGGAUUAGCUAGUAGGUGAGGUAAUGGCUCACCUAGGCGACGAUCCCUAGCUGGUCUGAGAGGAUGAUCAGCCACAAUGGGACGGAGACACGGCCCAGACUCCAACGGAGGCAGCAGUGGGGAAUAUUGAACAAUGGGCGCAAGACUGAGGCAGCCAUGCCGAGUGUAUGAAGAAGGCACUAGGGUUGUAAAGUACUUUCAGUCGGGAGGCGUUACCGACAGAAGAAGCACCGGCUAACUCCGUGCCAGCAGCCGCGGUAAUAC